GAACACGCUGGCUACCACAUGUGUCUAGAUCUUUGGAGACACUGUUAAAACUGGAGAGAGAGGAGGUUAUCUUCAGGACCCAGGACAGUUUACUGCAGUCUAUGUGCACAUGGACCACUUGGCCAGUGCAUCAGCAAACACAGACAUUGCUGGAAGGGCCAAAAAGAUCAAGAAGACUAUGGAGGAUGGAACUUUUGUAGCCUUCUGCCACUUUCUUGCUGAUGUUUUUUUCUGUGAUCAGUCAGUUUAGUUUACUUUUGCAAAGAAAUGAAGUCAUUCUACCCCAGGCUGUCAGUGGGGUUCAAAACCUCAUUGUGAACAUUGAAACAAUGGCAGUGAGACCCAAACCAGGAGGAAGACUCC